rnacentral:rRNA from 1 species
UGUAAAAUCUUAGUGGCGGACGGGUGAGUAACGCGUGGGUAACCUGCCUUACACUGGGGGAUAACACUUAGAAAUAGGUGCUAAUACCGCAUAAGCGCACGAAGCCGCAUGGAUUUGUGUGAAAAACUCCGGUGGUGUAAGAUGGACCCGCGUCUGAUUAGCUUGUUGGCGGGGUAACGGCCCACCAAGGCGACGAUACAUAGGGGGACUGAGAGGUUAACCCCCCACAUUGGUACUGAGACACGGACCAAACUCCUACGGGAGGCAGCAG